rnacentral:rRNA from 1 species
GUGGUAAUGCCGGAUGCUCCAUCACACCGCAUGGUGUGUUGGGAAAGCCUUUGCGGCAUGGGAUGGGGUCGCGUCCUAUCAGCUUGAUGGCGGGGUAACGGCCCACCAUGGCUUCGACGGGUAGCCGGCCUGAGAGGGCGACCGGCCACAUUGGGACUGAGAUACGGCCCAGACUCCUACGGGAGGCAGCAGUGGGGAAUAUUGCACAAUGGGCGCAAGCCUGAUGCAGCGACGCCGCGUGAGGGAUGGAGGCCUUCGGGUUGUAAACCUCUUUUGUUAGGGAGCAAGGCAUUUUGUGUUGAGUGUACCUUUCGAAUAAGCACCGGCUAACUACGUGCCAGCAGCCGCGGUAAUACGUAGGGUGCAAGCGUUAUCCGGAAUUAUUGGGCGUAAAGGGCUCGUAGGCGGUUCGUCGCGUCCGGUGUGAAAGUCCAUCGCUUAACGGUGGAUCCGCGCCGGGUACGGGCGGGCUUGAGUGCGGUAGGGGAGACUGGAAUUCCCGGUGUAACGGUGGAAUGUGUAGAUAUCGGGAAGAACACCA